rnacentral:rRNA from 1 species
UGGGGAAUCUUGCACAAUGGGGGAAACCCUGAUGCAGCGACGCCGCGUGAGCGAUGAAGCCCUUCGGGGUGUAAAGCUCUUUCGGCAGGAACGAUAAUGACGGUACCUGAAGAAGAAGCUGCGGCUAACUACGUGCCAGCAGCCGCGGUAAUACGUAGGCAGCGAGCGUUGUUCGGAGUUACUGGGCGUAAAGAGUGCGUAGGUGGUUCUCUAAGUUUGGUGUGAAAUCUCCCGGCUCAACUGGGAGGGUGCGCCGAAAACUGGGGGACUAGAGUGUGGGAGAGGAAAGCGGAAUUCCUGGUGUAGCGGUGAAAUGCGUAGAUAUCAGGAGGAACACCUGCGGUGUAGACGGCUUUCUGGACCACUACUGACACUGAGGCACGAAAGCGUGGGGAGCAAACAGGAUUAGAUACCCUGGUAGUCCACGCCCUAAACGAUGCACACUUGGUGUGAGCCAUUCAUUUGGUUCGUGCCGGAGCUAACGCGUUAAGUGUCG